rnacentral:lncRNA from 1 species
CCUUCUUGUUAUUUACUAAUUCAGUAAUCUCCCUACAUCACAUAGUAGCAAAACCUUUUACCUUGUUCAUUUUCAUUUUAAAUCCUGUGGAAUCUCUCAUUUGACAUUAAGUUAUUGUAAAUCUUGCGUGUUAUAAGAAGCAUAGGGUUGGAGUUGGCAAAUCUCAGUUCUUUGUAUAAUCUUUAGGCCAACUAUUAACAUUUAAGAUAGUCAUAUAGUGAACGAUGAUCUUGCUUCAUGUUUGUAUCCUUGUUGUCCCCUUGAUGCUUCACCGUGAAUUUCCUGUGAUGAUUAAUGUAUAACUUUAAUGUUUGUUACAAAAAACUGAAGGUUGAC